rnacentral:rRNA from 1 species
UUGAACGCUGGCGGCAUGCCUUACACAUGCAAGUCGAACGGCAGCACGGACUUCGGUCUGGUGGCGAGUGGCGAACGGGUGAGUAAUAUAUCGGAACAUACCCAGUAGUGGGGGAUAACUAUCCGAAAGGAUAGCUAAUACCGCAUACGAUCUGUGGAUGAAAGCAGGGGAUCUUCGGACCUUGUGCUAUUGGAAUGGCCGAUAUCUGAUUAGCUAGUUGGUAGGGUAAAAGCCUACCAAGGCGACGAUCAGUAGCUGGUCUGAGAGGACGACCAGCCACACUGGAACUGAGACACGGUCCAGACUCCUACGGGAGGCAGCAGUGGGGAAUUUUGGACAAUGGGGGCAACCCUGAUCCAGCAAUGCCGCGUGAGUGAAGAAGGCCCUCGGGUUGUAAAGCUCUUUUGUCAGGGAAGAAACGGAGUUCUCUAAUAUAGGAUUCUAAUGACGGUACCUGAAGAAUAAGCACCGGCUAACUACGUGCCAGCAGCCGCGGUAAUACGUAGGGUGCAAGCGUUAAUCGGAAUUACUGGGCGUAAAGCGUGCGCAGGCGGUUUUGUAAGUCUGAUGUGAAAUCCCCGGGCUCAACCUGGGAACUGCAUUGGAGACUGCAAGGCUAGAGUGUGUCAGAGGGGGGUAGAAUUCCACGUGUAGCAGUGAAAUGCGUAGAGAUGUGGAGGAAUACCGAUGGCGAAGGCAGCCCCCUGGGAUAACACUGACGCUC